CCUACGGGAGGCAGCAGCAAGGAAUCUUGCGCAAUGGGCGAAAGCCUGACGCAGCAACGCCGCGUGGGGGAAGAAGGCCUUCGGGUUGUAAACCCCUUUUGCAGGGGAAGAUAGUGACGGUACCCUGCGAAUAAGCCACGGCUAACUACGUGCCAGCAGCCGCGGUAAUACGUAGGUGGCGAGCGUUGUCCGGAUUUACUGGGCGUAAAGCGCGCGUAGGCGGCUUGUUAAGUCUGGGGUGAAAUCUCCCGGCUCAACUGGGAGGGGUCCUCGGAUACUGGCAGGCUGGAGGGGAGCAGAGGAGAGCGGAAUUCCCGGUGUAGUGGUGAAAUGCGUAGAUAUCGGGAGGAACACCAGUGGCGAAGGCGGCUUUCUGGGCCUAUCCUGACGCUGAGGAGCGAAAGCGUGGGGAGCAAACCGGAUUAGAUCCCCCUGUAGU
rnacentral:rRNA from 1 species